rnacentral:rRNA from 1 species
UGGAGAGUUUGAUCCUGGCUCAGAUUGAACGCUGGCGGCAGGCCUAACACAUGCAAGUCGGACGGUAGCACAGAGAGCUUGCUCUCGGGUGACGAGUGGCGGACGGGUGAGUAAUGUCUGGGGAUCUGCCCGAUAGAGGGGGAUAACCACUGGAAACGGUGGCUAAUACCGCAUAACGUCGCAAGACCAAAGAGGGGGACCUUCGGGCCUCUCACUAUCGGAUGAACCCAGAUGGGAUUAGCUAGUAGGCGGGGUAACGGCCCACCUAGGCGACGAUCCCUAGCUGGUCUGAGAGGAUGACCAGCCACACUGGAACUGAGACACGGUCCAGACUCCUACGGGAGGCAGCAGUGGGGAAUAUUGCACAAUGGGCGCAAGCCUGAUGCAGCCAUGCCGCGUGUAUGAAGAAGGCCUUCGGGUUGUAAAGUACUUUCAGCGGGGAGGAAGGCGAUGUGGUUAAUAACCGYRUYGAUUGACGUUACCCGCAGAAGAAGCACCGGCUAACUCCGUGCCAGCAGCCGCGGUA